rnacentral:rRNA from 1 species
AACCUCCGCAAUGUGAGAAAUCGCGACGGGGGGAUCCCAAGUGCCAUUCUUAACGGGAUGGCUUUUCAUUAGUGUAAAGAGCUUUUGGAAUAAGGGCUGGGCAAGACCGGUGCCAGCCGCCGCGGUAACACCGGCAGCUCUAGUGGUAGCAGUUUUUAUUGGGCCUAAAGCGUCCGUAGCCGGUUUAAUAAGUCUCUGGUGAAAUCCUGUAGCUUAACUGUGGGAAUUGCUGGUGAUACUGUUGAACUUGAGGUCGGGAGAGGUUAGCGGUACUCCCAGGGUAGAGGUGAAAUUCUGUAAUCCUGGGAGGACCGCCUGUUGCGAAGGCGUCUAACUGGAACGAUUCUGACGGUGAGGGACGAAAGUUAGGGGCGCGAACCGGAUUAGAUACCCGGGUAGUCCUAACUGUAAACGAUGCGGACUUGGUGUUGGGGUGGCUUUGAGCUGCUCCAGUGCCGAAGGGAAGCUGUUAAGUCCGCCGCCUGGGAAGUACGGUCGCAAGACUGAAACUUAAAGGAAUU